GGAGCCCAUUGAGCAAAUUCUUUCUGCCAAGCAGCCAUCGUUGAGAGAGGAACAACUACGAGGUAUGGUCCAGCAAGAUCAUAACGAUGAAAUAAUGAAGCGAGAAGAGAAAUCGAUUGAAUUGUUUUUCCAAGGCCCAUUUCAUCGGCUAGAAUUGAGCUGUUUCCUUUGCACCAAGCGUAUACCAUCCAAUUGAGACCUUCAAGUUGAUAAUCACGAAGUUUGUGUGUUGAUUCUCCGUCGGUUUUCAGAAAAUCCGGCAUCGACUCAAAUUUUUCAAAUUUCGGGCGCUUCCGGAGGACCUAAAUUAUUAUUUUUUGUAGAGGUUUAAUAAUAAAAAGUGAAAUAAAUUGUCCUUCAA
ensembl:ncRNA H06O01.5 ncRNA